CAAUAGCGUAUAUUAAAGUUGUUGCAGUUAAAAAGCUCGUAGUUGGAUUUCUGGUGGGAGCGAUCGGUCUGGCGCUUAGCGCGAGUACUUGCAUCGUCUCCGGCCAUCCUUGGGGAGAGUCUGUCUGGCAUUAGGUUGUCGGGCAGAGGAUCCUCAUCGUUUACUGUGAAAAAAUUAGAGUGUUCAAAGCAGGCUUAUGCCGUUGAAUAUAUUAGCAUGGAAUAAUAAGAUAGGACUUUGGUACUAUUUUGUUGGUUUGCGCACCAAAGUAAUGAUUAAUAGGGACAGUUGGGGGUAUUCGUAUUCCGUUGUCAGAGGUGAAAUUCUUGGAUUUACGGAAGACGAACUACUGCGAAAGCAUUUACCAAGGAUGUUNUCAUUAA
rnacentral:rRNA from 1 species